GUUCUCCUGCGGUGCAGUUCGCCCCCUGACUCGUGACAGACGGGGGGGCUAUUCAUCACACUCAAGGACUGGAGGACGCUGGGCCUCUAAAUCCGCUCGACGCUCCCGGAACGCGAGCCAGGCUCCUGCACGGGACCGUGUCCAUCACAACUGAUGCACCAGAGUCACCAGAGUUAGCUUCACGGCUACGUUUCCUCUGCGGUCCCUGGGAUUGAGAGGGAUGACAUUCAGGAGUGACCUUCAUCAUUUUUUUUACAAGCAAAAAGUGGUGUUUUCCAGCACAAAGCCCCUUUUGUAUCGCAGACACUGAAUCUGAGCUGAGAACCCCCGGAGUCUGGAAAUCGUCUCACCUGAAAACUUUGAUGUGGCUCAAUCAGGAGACUUCACAAUAGAGAGCGCAGGUCACGACAAAGUGCAUUUCACAGAGACGCUGUAAGGAGAGGCGCACAAAACCCACCUGUGUGGUUUUUGUGGCUUCUCUAAAGCUGAGGGAGAACAAAGCCUUCAUUCUUUUAAGCAGAGGGAAUGGGUUUUCUGACUGCCUUUCACACAAGUGCAUCUAUAUUACACAAAAAGGUAUUAAAUAACGGAGUGGCACUUCAUAGCAUUAGAGCACUGAUAUAUUCCUCCACGCUGAAAGGUGUGAUGCAGCAGUAACUUUGACCAAACGACCUUUGACCUUUUCUCUAUUUCCCGGUGGCAGUAAAAUGUUCAGCGUUAAAUUACAGUGUAGAUGUGUUCCCUAUUAGACUCACUUGAACUCUUACAGAGUUGAAUUAAGACUGGGAAUUUUACUGUGUAUGUUCAGUGUCUAUCCAGUUCUGAACUGAGAUGCCCUGUGAGCUCCAUUUAGUUGCGAGACUCUACAAGUUGUUGUACUGUGCCUCUUCUUUUUUUUUGUUAUUUCAGCCAGGAAUUUAACGCAGAAUCGAUCUCUUCGUGCGCUCCCCCUCAGAAAGUAGAAAGGUCAGGACCCGAAUGACGUGUUUCGCUUUGCCGUCGAUAACGCCGGCACAUUCCAUUAACGCGGUAAUGCCAUCAAGGUCCGGCUUAAUAACUGCAGAGGCAUGUAAUGGACUGUUAACUACGGCCUUCCAUCCCCAUUGGAAACCCCAUUACGGGGUCUGUGCCGAGUUUCAUUGCUUUUCAGCAGAGACGCCUUGGAAAGGGUGAGUGAAGUGUGUUAUGGAUUUUUUUUGUUUUUUUUUUCAUCUUCCAAUCCUGUUUUUCUGUUUCUGAGAAACUCAUUCUGAGAAUGACAUUGUUAGGGUGCCGUCCCCUCCCAUCGUAGUCUCUGCUCUCUGGUUUCAGUAGCGCUGUGUUAUGACAGUGGGCUCCCGGAGAAACAAGUGCCACUCGCGCUCUCUGAACAUCCGUCCAGCAGGGGGCAGUAUACCGAGGCUCAGGUCUCUGAUUUGAUAAUUGUAUUCUAUAGUACCUGCGCGAAAGAGGGUCACCCUCGUACUCUCAGACUGUGGGCUCAUUCCAGUUGUUUAGUUUUACCUCCUUGCAUCCUUCGCUCGUGUCCUCUCCUCGCUCGUUAGCUCUUAGCUCCCCUCGGAGGACACAAGGAAAGAAAGUGAAGAAUGGAGGAAUCAAGGAAAAAAGUGUAUUAGACAAAUAGAGGGUCUUUGUUCAGUCAAGUGUCAGUUUGAAGACACGUGAAUUGCACGUGUGGCAGAUGGUGAGAGGUGGAUCCACAGGUCGAUCAUUUAUAUGUCACGCGUUUCGAAAACAAAUUCCUUACGCAAAGGGUGCACUCUUGUGUCCUUGCUCAAGCAUCCUUCAGGAGCCUUCUAGCUCCUCACUCCUAGCUCCUUCAAGGAGCGUUUAAUGGGUUGGCACUUUGGCGGACCCCGAUCGAUUUCCGGGUCAGUCGAGGACGGAUAAAAUAAAAUGAUUGGAAAGAGCCCAGUGUGACCCUGCCAGGCCUCGGGCACGCCGUGUCCUGAUUGGCUGUUGAGUCUGCCAGACCAUAAUGGCUGCAGGGCCCUGGAGUAGAUGGCAGUGACACAGCAGUAGAGAGAGAGACCACAUGAACACGUCGAAUGCUUUCGCCUGAUUGGAAAUCAGUCCGCCCCGCAGCUAAAGCUGACAUGUGGAAGAGGCCUGUACUGCAGCCAGAGCAAACUGCCCCCAAGUGAAACAGCUUGCGUCUAUAAUGCAGUUGCGUAGCAGGACAUUUUCCCCACAGUGUACCUAUUUGGGCUUUGAAGACCACAUCCUCAUAGCUGAAAGCGCUGCAGUAUUAGGCUUUUCACUGUAAAUAUCAGGUUUCCUGGCAAGAAAAUACAAUGUAGAUUGGAGAUGGAUCUGUGAGGAUUCUUUUUCCUAUUAUGAACAAGUUUUAGGAAGACAAUAGCUGCUCCCUCUGAAUUAUGGCACAUUGGGUUCUAUUUUGAGGACGCAGACAUAUUUUGGAUCAGCGCAGAGAGGCGUAGCUGUGUUUGUGCCUAGUUUGGUGUUUUCCCUGUUUUAAGUGUUCGUACUGGGUGGGUGGAAAGAGGGCUGGCUUUGUGUGGGGGUGGGAGUACAU